GGUAAACAUACUACAUGCUCGUAAAAAUAACUUCAAAUACCAAACAUUUCAUAAUUUGAAAACAUAAGUUAGCGUUUACAUCGCGAGAUAGCAUAAAACAUUGUCUUGAAAGUUUACAACUUUAUUAAAAGAUAAACAUAAACGACAUCCACAAGCAUGAGUAAGACCGCGCAAACAUCCACUUCUAGUUACCUGAAAUACAUCAUACCUUAUUAGAUAGAAUAGCAUUACCAUACAAAUAAAGGCCUUCAACUUGACUACCAGUCACCAGGACUCUCUUGGUUACUAAAUCCUGAAUGUAACAUUUAUAUGUUCAUCAAAACCAAUAUACAAUGAAUUAUCCAUUGCUAACUUAUGAACAAAUAUCAGAUUAACAGAGUAUUCAGGAAUAACAAGCACAUAUUUUAAAACAACCCCAUCUACUAACUUUACACAACCUAUUUUAGUUACUAAAGCACUAGUACCAUUAGGAUGUUUAACCUAAACUUUUAAGUUUGAAAUAUCAAAAUAAUCAACAAGAUUAGUUUCAGAAUUAACCAUGUGAUUGUUAGCUCCUGAAUGUAUUAUCCAACCAGACCCUUUUUUAUUAAAAAGUUAGCGAAAGUAUACACUAGUUUAGUAAAAACAUUAGAAUAGAAAAAACUACCUGAGACAUUACAACUCUGCAGUGUUUCAGGUGACUUUUCCUUCAACAAAUUCAACAAUUUAGUUAACUGAUCAAAAGUGAAAGUACUAACAGGAAGAUUUGACUCAUCAGGACAUUCAAUGUUACUAGAAUUAACCUUUUUCCCAUGAUUCCCUCUUGGUGAUUUCAUUCAAGAGGGAUAUCAAAUAAGUUCAAAACACUUAUCAAUAGUGUGCCCAAUUUUAUUGCAAUUAGCACAUUUCAGGUUUUGGUUUUGACCUUUAACUCUCUUUUUCUUAUUAUCAAUCACAAAAUUAGACUUAGCAAACAGACCAAUAGCAUGAUCACUAGACACAUUAGAGUUCCUAUGUGAUUCUUCCCUAGACACAAUUGAGAAAGCCUAUUUUACACUUGGAAGAGGCUCUCUAAUAAGCAUACUAGUUCUGACAGUACUAUACACAUUAUCCAGACUCAUCAGAAAUUGCAUUAGUUUAAUCAAAUGAUUAAAAAUAUUGAACUGUGUUGCAUCAUCACAAGUGCAAGUAGGAAUUUGCAAAAUUUGAUAUAUUUUUUCCACAUUAUGUUUAGUUUAUGAUAAUACUGAGCAACAGAUAAAACAGAUUGACUAAAUGAGUUAAUCUUUUGAUACAAAUCAAUCACAACUGACCCAUCUAUUUUAUCAUAGGUAUCUCUUAAUUCCUUCCAAACCUCAGCAGCAGAUUUAGAAUAAACAUGACCAAGAUACAAAUCUUCUUAGACAGAAUUUAAAAUCCAAGUUAACACAACUGAGUUACACCUUUCCCAUUUUCAAGAACAACAUUUCCCUCUGGUUUAACAUAAUCAAUAAAACCAAUUUUAUUUUUGACUAUUAAAUCAAGAUUCAUGGCAUUAGACCAAACUAUAUAGUUUCCUGUCCCUUUAAGUUUACAUUAACAACUGUCAAAGCAAUAGAACCACUAGCAUGUAAGUAUAAAGGACUAUUAGGUUCUAAUUUACUAAUUAAAGUUUCAUUUUCAUCACCAAUCACAAACUUUUAAACAAAAACUAUACAUAAGCAGAUUAACACAAUAGUCAAGAUUAUACUUAAACAAGCAAAUUCUAAACAACCAGUCUGUUCUAGGGACCAGAUGGUAGGUUUGUCACUCUGAAGGUGCCUACCCAAGUCUUAGAACAGAGGUUGGAUAACUACAAAUAUAAACACACCCAAAGAAUAGAUAUCAAACACAGAAAAAUACCAAACACAGAACAACAGGUAUUCACAACAGAAAAAUAUCAAAACACAGAUAUCACGAAAAAUGCAACAGAGUGAACCCUCUCUGUGUCCCAAUCAACACUGGCCCGAAUAGUCCGGUAACAACAAUGCCUAAAUGCAAAGAAAUGUAAAAAACGUAAAUCAAAGAACGAUCUCACCAAGUAAGCAAACCCAAGUCAGGGUUUCUCCAAAUCCAGAUAGGGUUUUACAAUCUUCAAAGAUUGAAUCCUAACCGGAGCGACAACUUCCAAAAAAACCUCUUGAAGAUAUCCACAGCAACCCAAUCUACAGUCGGCAAAUAGAAAGUUCACCAUGACUUAGAUCAAACGCCAAACACUAGAUCUACGGUUUCAGUUUCUCGAACAACACAAAUACCAAGAUAACCAGAUCUUCAAGAUCUGGAAUCGGCAACAAAUAGACACCCCAAAAUCAAGAAGAAAACCCCCAACACGAAAAGAUUUGAACAAGAACACAACGGAGAGAAAUGUGAAUGGAAACCCUAAGAUCGCCGACAACACCCCAAGAGCUAUCAAAGCUCUGAUACCAUGUGAAAACAAUGGUAUCAACCAUAUAGAACUCAGAUUAUACCCGAACCCAAAUGUUAUUAACACAAAAGUACAACCUGAACAAACUACAACAUCAACACGAAAGAAAUACCAACUCUCUAACUCUCAAAAGAUCAUCAACACCAUGAUCUUGCAAUUGAACGAACAAUAGACUCACAACAACUUAGAAUCAGAAUGAUUCUGCGUUGAAACCCUAAAUCGCCUUGAGAGAAACUGAGACAACAAGUACAAAAAAUAUUU
rnacentral:lncRNA from 1 species